rnacentral:rRNA from 1 species
UACGUAGGGGGCAAGCGUUGUCCGGAUUUAUUGGGCGUAAAGAGCGUGUAGGCGGCCAAGCAGGUCAGCUGUGAAACUCGAGGCUCAACCUCGAGACGUCGGUUGAAACCGUUUGGCUAGAGUCCGGAAGAGGAGAGUGGAAUUCCCGGUGUAGCGGUGAAAUGCGCAGAUAUCGGGAAGAACACCCGUGGCGAAGGCGGCUCUCUGGGACGGUACUGACGCUGAGACGCGAAAGCGUGGGGAGCGAACAGG